GUCACAGCUCGCGCCGGCGCGCGCACGUAGGAGGCGAGAGCGCGCGCGCUGGGGAGGGUGGGAAAAACGGACCUGCGUGGGGCAGGGCCUACCGGAUGAUUGGCACCGAGUGCUGGGUUAGCCUCCCGACUCCUGCUAGGCUCCCUCGGUGCUGAGUGAACGAGCGCCACGUGGCUCUUGGCCACUUCUGGCUAGCCUGGUUGUCCCCAAGCUGCAAGCUGGGAGCUUUGCAGGAGGACUUACAGUUUUUACCCAGUGUCCUUGUGUUCAAGGGUGACCUAAAGUCCAUUGUCCAGUCCAUCCUGGAGAUACCUGUUCAUGGACCAAGGCUACUAUCACAAAACCACUCAGAACCAUUAUGAACAGCCUGUCUGGCUCCAGUUCUCCAAAUCUAUUUGGAACCAGAGAAUCAAUUUCCUUUUAGUGAUGUGGUUGAAUUACAAUCAGCAUCAAGGAUCCAUCUGAACUGUCAGGUGAAUAUUCCAUACUUUUUCAAAGGAAUGGUGUCUUUGUUCCCCUGAGAAGGGAGUCGGCUAACUAUUGUCACAGGCAGUCUAUUUGUCAUCCCAAAUCUGGAAAUAUCCUUUGUCUCUGUGAUUACCAAUGGAGGAGCUGGGCCACAGCUGUUU
rnacentral:lncRNA from 1 species